rnacentral:rRNA from 1 species
UCGAACGGUCAAUUAUUUAUAGCCUCUGGCUAUAGGAAAUUGUUAGUGGCAGACGGGUGAGUAAUGCGUAGGAAUCUACCUAGUAGUACGGAAUAGCCAUUAGAAAUGGUGGGUAAUACUGUAUAAUCCCCGAGGGGGAAAGAUUUAUCGCUAUUAGAUGAGCCUACGUUAGAUUAGCUAGUUGGUGAGGUAAUGGCUUACCAAGGCUAUGAUCUAUAGCUGGUCUGAGAGGACGAUCAGCCACACUGGAACUGAGAUACGGUCCAGACUCCUACGGGAGGCAGCAGUGGGGAAUAUUGGACAAUGGGCGAAAGCCUGAUCCAGCUAUGCCGCGUGAGUGAAGAAGGC